GUGUCAGCAGCCGCGGUAAUACGGAGGGUGCAAGCGUUGUUCGGAAUCACUGGGCGUAAAGCGCGUGUAGGCGGUUCACUAAGUCUGAUGUGAAAGCCCGGGGCUCACCCCCGGAAGGGCAUUGGAAACUGGUGGACUCGAGUCCCGGAGAGGAGAGUGGAAUUCCUGGUGUAGCGGUGAAAUGCGUAGAUAUCAGGAGGAACACCGGUGGCGAAGGCGGCUCUCUGGACGGUGACUGACGCUGAGACGCGAAAGCGUGGGGAGCAAACAGGAUUAGAUACCCUGGUAGUCCACGCUGUAAACGAUGAGCACUAGGUGUCGCGGGUAUUGACCCCUGCGGUGCCGCAGCUAACGCAUUAAGUGCUCCGCCUGGGGACUACGGCCGCAAGGUUAAA
rnacentral:rRNA from 1 species